AAUAUUGCACAAUGGGGGAAACCCUGAUGCAGCGACGCCGCGUGAGCGAAGAAGGCCUUCGGGUAGUAAAGCUCUGUCCUAAGGGAAGAAACGGACGGUACAUUAGGAGGAAGCCCCGGCUAACUACGUGCCAACAGCCGCGGUAAUACGUAGGGGGCAAGCGUUGUCCGGAAUUAUUGGGCGUAAAGGGUGGGGAGGCGGCCUUUUAAGUCAGGUGUGAAAGCCCACGGCCUAACCGUGGGAUUGCAUUUGAAACUGGAAGGCUUGAGUAUCGGAGAGGGUAGUGGAAUUCCCAGUGUAGCGGUGGAAUGCGUAGAUAUUGGGAGGAACACCAGUGGCGAAGGCGACUACCUGGACGAAAACUGACGCUGAGGCACGAAAGCUAGGGGAGCAAAC
rnacentral:rRNA from 1 species